CCUACGGGGGGCAGCAGUCGGGAAUAUUGCGCAAUGGAGGAAACUCUGACGCAGUGACGCCGCGUAUAGGAAGAAGGUUUUCGGAUUGUAAACUAUUGUCGUUAGGGAAGAAAAAAGACAGUACCUAAGGAGGAAGCUCCGGCUAACUACGUGCCAGCAGCCGCGGUAAUACGUAGGGAGCGAGCGUUAUCCGGAUUUAUUGGGUGUAAAGGGUGCGUAGACGGGUAUACAAGUUGGUUGUGAAAUCCCUCGGCUUAACUGAGGAACUGCAACCAAAACUGUAUAUCUUGAGUACAGGAGAGGUA
rnacentral:rRNA from 1 species